rnacentral:rRNA from 1 species
GAUCAUGGCUCAGGACGAACGCUGGCGGCGUGCCUAACACAUGCAAGUUGAACGGUAACUUUUUUGAAAGAUUUCUUCGGAAUGUAAUUUGAUUAAGUUUAGUGGCGGACGGGUGAGUAACGCGUGAGUAACCUGCCUCUAAGGAGGGGAAUAACAUUCUGAAAAGAAUGCUAAUACCGCAUAAUAUAUAUUUAUCGCAUGGUAGAUAUAUCAAAGAUUUAUCGCUUAGAGAUGGACUCGCGUCCG